rnacentral:rRNA from 1 species
AACGAACGCUGGCGGCGCGUCUUAAGCAUGCAAGUCGAGCGGCAAGGGCAGCGAUGCCCCUAGAGCGGCGGACUGGUGAGUAACGCGUGGGUGACCUACCCUUAGGAUGGGGAUAGCCAUUAGAAAUAGUGGGUAAUACCGAAUGUGAUUGCGGGACUGUGGUUUCGCAAAGAAAGGAGCUAAGGCUCCGCCUGAGGAUGGGCCCGCGUCCCAUUAGGUAGUUGGUGCGGUAAAGGCGUACCAAGCCGGAGAUGGGUAGCCGGCCUGAGAGGGUGAACGGCCACACUGGGACUGAGAUACGGCCCAGACUCCUACGGGAGGCAGCAGCUAAGAAUAUUCCGCAAUGGGCGAAAGCCUGACGGAGCGACGCCGCGUGUACGAAGAAGGCCGAAAGGUUGUAAAGUACUUUUUUUGCGGAAGAAUAAGCGGUGGAGGGAAUGCCAUCGUGAUGACGAGAAGCGAAGAAUAAGCCCCGGCUAAUUACGUGCCAGCAGCCGCGGUAACACGUAAGGGGCGAGCGUUGUUCGGAAUUAUUGGGCGUAAAGGGCGCGUAGGCGGUUAUGGAAGUCUGAUGUGAAAGGCAGGAGCUUAACUUCUGGAUUGCAUUGGAAGCUGGAUGACUAGAGUCAUGGAGGGGGAGUUGGAAUUCCUAGUGUAGGGGUGAAAUCUGUAGAUAUUAGGAAGAACACCGGUGGCGAAGCGAACUUCUAGCCAUGACUGACGCUGAGCGCGAAAGUGCGGGGAGCGAACAGGAUUAGAUACCUGGUAGUCGCACUAUAACGAUGUGCACUAGGUGUUGGGCCCGAGCGGUUCAGUGCCGGAGCGAACGUGAUAAGUGCACCGCCUGGGGAGUAUGCCCGCAAGGGUGAAACUCAAAGGAAUUGACGGGGGCCCGCACAAGCGGUGGAGCAUGUGGUUUAAUUCGAUGAUACGCGAGGAACCUUACCUGGGUUUGACAUGGAGGCGAAGGGUGCAGAGAUGUACCCGCCUGGCAACAGGCGCUUUCACAGGUGCUGCAUGGCUGUCGUCAGCUCGUGCCGUGAGGUGUUGGGUUAAGUCCCGCAACGAGCGCAACCCUUACUGCCAGUUGCUAACAGGUAAAGCUGAGGACUCUGGCGGAACUGCCGGUGACAAACCGGAGGAAGGUGGGGAUGACGUCAAGUCAUCAUGGCCCUUAUGUCCAGGGCUACACACGUGCUACAAUGGUUGGUACAACGUGACGCGAAACCGCGAGGUAAGAGCGAAGCACGAAAAGCCAGCCGUAGUUCGGAUUGAAGUCUGAAACCCGACUUCAUGAAGUUGGAAUCGCUAGUAAUCGCACAUCAGCAUGGUGCGGUGAAUACGUUCCCGGGCCUUGUACACACCGCCCGUCACACCAUCCGAGUUGGAGGUACCCGAAGCCGGUAGUCUAACCGCAAGGGGGACGCUGUCGAAGGUACGUUUAGUGAGGAGGGUG